GGUCAUGUAGCUCAGUUGGUUAGAGUGUUGGUCUGAUAUACCCAAGGUCAUGGGUUCAAGCCCCAUCGGGACCA
rnacentral:tRNA from 1 species